rnacentral:rRNA from 1 species
GUUAAGCGACUAAGCGUACACGGUGGAUGCCCUGGCAGUCAGAGGCGAUGAAGGACGUGCUAAUCUGCGAUAAGCGUCGGUGAGGUGAUAUGAACCGUUAUAACCGGCGAUUUCCGAAUGGGGAAACCCAGUGUGUUUCGACACACUAUCAUUAACUGAAUCCAUAGGUUAAUGAGGCGAACCGGGGGAACUGAAACAUCUAAGUACCCCGAGGAAAAGAAAUCAACCGAGAUUCCCCCAGUAGCGGCGAGCGAACGGGGAGGAGCCCAGAGCCUGAAUCAGUGUGUGUGUUAGUGGAAGCGUCUGGAAAGGCGCGCGAUACAGGGUGACAGCCCCGUACACAAAAAUGCACAUACUGUGAGCUCGAUGAGUAGGGCGGGACACGUGGUAUCCUGUCUGAAUAUGGGGGGACCAUCCUCCAAGGCUAAAUACUCCUGACUGACCGAUAGUGAACCAGUACCGUGAGGGAAAGGCGAAAAGAACCCCGGCGAGGGGAGUGAAAAAGAACCUGAAACCGUGUACGUACAAGCAGUGGGAGCCUCUUAAUGGGGUGACUGCGUACCUUUUGUAUAAUGGGUCAGCGACUUAUAUUCUGUAGCAAGGUUAACCGAAUAGGGGAGCCGAAGGGAAACCGAGUCUUAACUGGGCGUUAAGUUGCAGGGUAUAGACCCGAAACCCGGUGAUCUAGCCAUGGGCAGGUUGAAGGUUGGGUAACACUAACUGGAGGACCGAACCGACUAAUGUUGAAAAAUUAGCGGAUGACUUGUGGCUGGGGGUGAAAGGCCAAUCAAACCGGGAGAUAGCUGGUUCUCCCCGAAAGCUAUUUAGGUAGCGCCUCGUGAAUUCAUCUCCGGGGGUAGAGCACUGUUUCGGCAAGGGGGUCAUCCCGACUUACCAACCCGAUGCAAACUGCGAAUACCGGAGAAUGUUAUCACGGGAGACACACGGCGGGUGCUAACGUCCGUCGUGAAGAGGGAAACAACCCAGACCGCCAGCUAAGGUCCCAAAGUCAUGGUUAAGUGGGAAACGAUGUGGGAAGGCCCAGACAGCCAGGA